AUGAUCUUUCUGGAAUGGGAUGAGAUGGGUUAUUUUGAUCAACAGAGAUCUUCACCCAGGAAACGGGAUUGGUUGUUUUGCUCUUUCUUGCAGGUUGGACAGUGGAGGUGGUCAGAUAUGUCAAUGAUAGACUACAUGCCUUGGGCCCCUGGCCGACCCGGGAUGAACCGUACAACGGGUGCCUGUGUUCACUUGGCAGCCAAAUAUGAUUUUUCAAGUUGGAAAGAUGAUCAAUGUUCACAGAAGAUGAAGUACCUUUGCAUGAUGACUAUGUAGUGUACUGAAGGCAGUUGUUCACCUCAGCCUACAAAGGAUGCUAGAAACAAUAUAGUUUGACAUUAAGGCCUGAAGAAGCUACAUUUGCCACCUUGCCCCCUGAUCUUGUGCCAUUCUGGACCCUCAUUAGAGGUUCUUUAAGGAAAAUCAAAUAAAUGGUCUUUAGAGCUUGUAUCUGCCCCUUCUUUGGUCUAUUAAAGAUGAAUAAAUGUUUCUGGUUCGAGAACUUUCAAAGGAACACAAAAUAUGAAAAAAGUACAAGACCAGGAUACUCAAUAUCUCAAUUAUUAUUUAUAGUUCAAGUUCACUUUAUUACGGUCAAUGACCAUCUCAUAAGAAAUUAUUUAUAGUAGUUUUUAAAAUUCUUUAGAGAAAUAUAAGAGAAGGAUAAAACAUCAAUGAUCUGAGGAUAAAAAUUGAACUUUUGCGGAUGAUCUAAUGCUAAUAUUAGAAGAUCCAUUGGAUAAACUUUAUUUAUAUUCCGCUUUAUCUUCCCGGAGGGACUCAGAGCAGAUUACAUUUUACAUAUAUAAAGCAAACCUUCAAUGUCCUUUUGCACAGUGAACAAACGACAUACAGUACAAAGAGGUAAAGGCCUUUCCCUUUCCAUCUCCAGUCAUCUGGAGGCGAUGCUCAACUCCGGCCAUGGGGAGGUGCUCUUGUUCCAUUUUUUCCAAGCUGAGGAGCCUGUUGUUUAUAGACCUUUUCCAAUUGUUGCCAGUAUGUCUGCAUGAGGCACCCUUUUACCUCCUCACUGAAGCAGUACCUAUUGAUUUACUCGCAUUAUUACUCACAUUACUCUACAUACUAGGAGCAUUCGGGAAAGUGGCAGGCUUUAAAACAAAUAAGCAAAAAACUAAUGUUCUUACUAAAACAAUUAAUUGAAAAAGAGCAACACAAACUGCAAGAGAGAAAAAGUAAAUUAUUUUGGCAGAACCCUAUCUAAUAAAAUACAACAUUGUUUCUAAACAAUGACAAGACUUGGAAAGAGAUUAAAACAGACCUAUAAGGAUGGAAUAAAGUCAAUUUAUCAUUACUAGGAGGCGUUUCAGCCAUUAAGACUAAUAUCCUCCCCAAAAUGUUAUAUUAUUCCAAAAUAAAUGUUAUUUUGAGCAUGUAUCUACCCAGUCUGUGGUCUAACAAACAUGAAUCAAUACUACUGGUUUCAGGUUUGAUCAAAGCAUCUUCUCCAAAUGUUUUUAACUAUUUUAAGAACUUGAUUUUCACAAUUAUAUAGAAUCAUAUUCUUGGGUUCUUUAUCUAGUCUAUAUAUGUUGACUUCACUCAACCCUACACAUAGAAUAGAACUCAGACACUUCAAUCGAUGCCUAUCACAAGCUCAUUGCAUGUAACAAUUUAAUUUGAGGCUGGUCUCAUGACAGUGACCUAUGGUUUAAGCCUGCGAAAUGUGGACUGUCUACAGACAUCACUCUUAAUUCCUGGAACGAUUCCAUCAGUGUUGCCUCUGAAAAAUCCUGCAAAUCUCUUGGGAAGACAGGCAAACAAAUGUCAGUGUGCUGGAAGAAGCAAAGACCACCAGCACUGAAACAAUGCUCCUACAAUGUGUUGUCGAAGGCUUUCAUGGCCCGGAUCACAGGGUUGUUGUUUGUCUUUCGGGUUGUGGCCAUGUUCCAGAAUACUUCUGGAACAUGGCCACACAGCCCGAAAGACAUACAACAACCCAAUGCUCCUACAUCAUCAACUCCACUGGACUGGCCACGUUGUCCGAAUGCCCAAUCACUGUCUCCCAAAGCAUUUACGAUAUUCCCAACUCAGUAA
rnacentral:lncRNA from 1 species